ACUCAUUGUUGAUUUUUUUAUGAUAACAUUGAUUGUUGAUUUAUGCCUGUCCCUUAAUUGACGAAGAUCGCAGCAUACAUAUAUUUAUUAUUUCCACAUUAUCAUAUCUAUUUGAGUAUAAGAGAUGGUUGACUGUCAUUUUGUGAUUUAUAAUCUUUGAAGUGUGUUGGAAAGAAAAUUAUUGCCAGAAUUUAUUAUAAGUUGCCAUAGAACGUUGACAUUUAGUUUUUGAAUACAUUAUGAAUGAAUUUGAUGGACAAUGAGUUGUAAGACUUGAAUUAUGUUGAUGUGAAUAAAGAUAUGCAAAAAUUUAUAAAGAUCAAAAAUGAAUACAAGAGAGCUCUAAAUUUAUAAGACAAAUUGAAAUUUUAAUUUAUUUUGUAUGUUCAUCAUGUCAUAGAUUCAUACUUUGAUAUUAAAAUCUGAAUAUUCCUCUAUAUCAGGUCCAGGAAAGAAGAAUUUGGUUGAAAAAUUGUUAGGAAAUUCAUUUUAUUUUAUAGAAUUGUAUAUCUUUAUAUUUCCCUCAAAAUGCAGAUAUAAAAAUGAUUUAGUUUUAUUUAGUAAAGGUGCUGUCAAUAAAAUGUACCGAUUACAUGC
rnacentral:misc_RNA from 1 species